rnacentral:rRNA from 1 species
CGGUAGGGAAGGAAUCAACAGGGCAUUGCCUCAGUAACGGCGAGUGAAGCGGCAAAAGCUCAAAUUUUAAAGCUGGCACCUCCGGUGUCCGCGUUGUAAUUUUGUGAGGCAUCUCCGGGUAGGGCGCCGGCCUAAGUUCCUUGGAACAGGACGUCAUAGAGGGUGAGAAUCCCGUGCUUGGCUGGCUGUCCCCGUCCAUGUGAGGUGUCUUCGACGAGUCGAGUUGUUUGGGAAUGCAGCUCAAAAUGGGUGGUAAAUUUCAUCUAAAGCUAAAUAUUGGUGGGAGACCGAUAGCGCACAAGUAGAGUGAUCGAAAGAUGAAAAGCACUUUGAAAAUAGAGUUAAAAAGUACGUGAAAUUGUUGAAAGGGAAGCGCUUGAGACCAGACUUCGGUGGGGAGUGAUCAGCUGUCCUUCUGGGCGGUGCACUUGCUCCCCUCCGGGCCAGCAUCGGUUGGGACGGCGGGAUAAAGGUCCCGGGAAUGUGGCUCCUUUCGGGGAGUGUUAUAGCCCGGGUGAAUGCCGCCAGCCCCGACCGAGGACCGCGCCUUCGGGCUAGGAUGCUUGGCAUAAUGGUCUUCAGCGACCCGUCUUGAAACACGGACCAAGGAGUCUAACAUCUAUGCGAGUGUUUGGGUGUCAAACCCUUGCGCGAAAUGAAAGUGAACGGAGGUGGGAACCCGCAAGGGUGCACCAUCGACCGGUCCCGAAGUCUUCUGAAGGAUCUGAGUAGGAGCAUAGCUGUUGGGACCCGAAAGAUGGUGAACUAUGCCUGAAUAGGGUGAAGCCAGAGGAAACUCUGGUGGAGGCUCGCAGCGGUUCUGACGUGCAAAUCGAUCGUCAAAUUUGGGUAUAGGGGCGAAAGACUAAUCGAACCCAUGCUUGUGCGCC